AGCUGAUGUACGCUUUUCGAUCGUCACCGAUAAACAAGUUGCCGAAGUAAGGAAAAUCUUGUUUCUUCGGCCACCAAAAACAUACACUGUGGUGUAAGAACGUAUACGAAAAAUGGGCGGCGGCAAGGAAUAAUGAGUUCCACGAUUUUGCACAAGAGAGCGAAGAAUUUACUUGUGUAUACCAUGCAAGCAUCGAUGAUGCAUGCGACGUGAAAUAACUCCAGUAUUGGCUGAAGUGUGGGAAGACUAUGAACAAAGUGUUUCGAAUAUUCAGUUUGGGUGCAAUAUUGCAGAG